CCCCUAGAUGUUCUGGGCCGCACGCGCGCUACACUGAACAGUUCAACAAGUCUUAACCUUGGCCGAUAGGUCUGGGUAAUCUUUGAACGCUGUUCGUGAUUGGGAUAGACCUUUGCAAUUAUGGGUCUUCAACGAGGAAUUCCUAGUAAACGCAAGUCAUCAGCUUGCAUUGAUUACGUCCCUGCCCUUUGUACACACCGCCCGUCGCACCUACCGAUUGAGUGAUCCGGUGAAUAAUUCGGACUGCAGCACUGCUUGGUCUCCAGGCUUUGCAGCGGAAAGUUUAGUGAACCUUAUCACUUAGAGGAAGGAGAAGUCGUANCA
rnacentral:rRNA from 1 species